AGCGAACGCUGGCGGCAGGCUUAACACAUGCAAGUCGAGCGGGCAUCUUCGGAUGUCAGCGGCAGACGGGUGAGUAACACGUGGGAACGUACCCUUCGGUUCGGAACAACUCUGGGAAACUGGAGCUAAUACCGGAUACGCCCUUAUGGGGAAAGGUUUACUGCCGAAGGAUCGGCCCGCGUCUGAUUAGCUAGUUGGUGGGGUAACGGCCUACCAAGGCGACGAUCAGUAGCUGGUCUGAGAGGAUGAUCAGCCACACUGGGACUGAGACACGGCCCAGACUACUACGGGAAGCAGCAGUGGGGAAUAUUGGAAAAUGGGCGCAAGCCUGAUCCAGCCAUGCCGCGUGAGUGAUGAAGGCCUUAGGGUUGUAAAGCUCUUUUGUCCGGGACGAUAAUGACGGUACCGGAAGAAUAAGCCCCGGCUAACUUCGUG
rnacentral:rRNA from 1 species